rnacentral:rRNA from 1 species
UACGUAGGUGGCACGCGUUGUCCGGAAUUAUUGGGCGCAAAGCGCGCGCAGGCGGUUUCUUAAGUCUGAUGUGAAAGCCCCCGGCUCAACCGGGGAGGGUCAUUGGAAACUGGGAAACUUGAGUGCAGAAGAGGAAAGUGGAAUUCCAAGUGUAGCGGUGAAAUGCGUAGAGAUUUGGAGGAACACCAGGGGCGAAGGCGACUUUCUGGUCUGUAACUGACGCUGAGGCGCGAAAGCGUGGGGAGCAAACAGG